rnacentral:misc_RNA from 1 species
GAUGAAGAACGCAGCGAAAUGCGAUAAGUAGUGUGAAUUGCAGAAUUCAGUGAAUCAUCGAAUCUUUGAACGCACAUUGCGCCCCUUGGUAUUCCAUGGGGCAUGCCUGUUCGAGCGUCAUUUGUACCUUCAAGCUUUGCUUGGUGUUGGGUGUUUGUCUCGCCUCUGCGUGUAGACUCGCCUCAAAACAAUUGGCAGCCGGCGUAUUGAUUUCGGAGCGCAGUACAUCUCGCGCUUUGCACUCAUAACGACAGCGUCCAAAAGUACAUUUUACACUCUUGACCUCGGAUCAGGUAGGGAUACCCGCUGAACUUAAGCAUAUCAAUAAGCGGAGGA